CGUGCGCAGCUACCAUGCAGUCGAGCGGAUGAAGGAGCUUGCUCCUGAAUUCAGCGGCGGACGGGUGAGUAAUGCCUAGGAAUCUGCCUGGUAGUGGGGGACAACGUUUCGAAAGGAACGCUAAUACCGCAUACGUCCUACGGGAGAAAGCAGGGGACCUUCGGGCCUUGCGCUAUCAGAUGAGCCUAGGUCGGAUUAGCUAGUUGGUGAGGUAAUGGCUCACCAAGGCGACGAUCCGUAACUGGUCUGAGAGGAUGAUCAGUCACACUGGAACUGAGACACGGUCCAGACUCCUACGGGAGGCAGCAGUGGGGAAUAUUGGACAAUGGGCGAAAGCCUGAUCCAGCCAUGCCGCGUGUGUGAAGAAGGUCUUCGGAUUGUAAAGCACUUUAAGUUGGGAGGAAGGGCAUUAACCUAAUACGUUAGUGUUUUGACGUUACCGACAGAAUAAGCACCGGCUAACUCUGUGCCAGCAGCCGCGGUAAUACAGAGGGUGCAAGCGUUAAUCGGAAUUACUGGGCGUAAAGCGCGCGUAGGUGGUUUGUUAAGUUGGAUGUGAAAUCCCCGGGCUCAACCUGGGAACUGCAUUCAAAACUGACAAGCUAGAGUAUGGUAGAGGGUGGUGGAAUUUCCUGUGUAGCGGUGAAAUGCGUAGAUAUAGGAAGGAACACCAGUGGCGAAGGCGACCACCUGGACUGAUACUGACACUGAGGUGCGAAAGCGUGGGGAGCAAACAGGAUUAGAUACCCUGGUAGUCCACGCCGUAAACGAUGUCAACUAGCCGUUGGGAGCCUUGAGCUCUUAGUGGCGCAGCUAACGCAUUAAGUUGACCGCCUGGGGAGUACGGCCGCAAGGUUAAAACUCAAAUGAAUUGACGGGGGCCCGCACAAGCGGUGGAGCAUGUGGUUUAAUUCUAAGCAACGCGAAGAACCUUACCACGCCUUGACAUCCAAUGAACUUUCCAGAGAUGGAUUGGUGCCUUCUGGAACAUUGAGACAGUGCUGCAUGGCUGUCGUCAGCUCGUCGUCGUGAGAUGAUGGGUUAAGUCCCGUAACGAGCGCAACCCCUUGUCCUUAGUUAACCAGCAACGUAUG
rnacentral:rRNA from 1 species